rnacentral:rRNA from 1 species
AGUGAACGCUGGCGGUAGGCCUAACACAUGCAAGUCGAACGGCAGCACAGUAAGAGCUUGCUCUUACGGGUGGCGAGUGGCGGACGGGUGAGGAAUACAUCGGAAUCUACUUUUUCGUGGGGGAUAACGUAGGGAAACUUACGCUAAUACCGCAUACGACCUACGGGUGAAAGCAGGGGAUCUUCGGACCUUGCGCGAUUGAAUGAGCCGAUGUCGGAUUAGCUAGUUGGCGGGGUAAAGGCCCACCAAGGCGACGAUCCGUAGCUGGUCUGAGAGGAUGAUAAGCAACACUGGAACGGAGACACGGUCCAGACUCCUACGGGAGGCAGCAGUGGGGAAUAUUGGACAAUGGGCGAAAGCAUGAUCCAGCCAUCCCGGGUGGGUGAAGAAGGCCUUCGGGUUGUAAAGCCCUUUUGUGGGGAAAGAAAAGCAGCAGGUUAAUCCCCCGCUGUUCUGACGGUCCCCAAAGAAUAAGCACCGGCUAACUUCGUG